UACGUAGGGGGCAAGCGUUGUCCGGAUUUACUGGGCGUAAAGAGCUCGUAGGCGGUGUGUUGCGUCGGCCGUGAAAACCUGCAGCUUAACUGUGGGCGUGCGGUCGAUACGGGCAUCACUGGAGUUCGGCAGGGGAGACUGGAAUUCCUGGUGUAGCGGUGAAAUGCGCAGAUAUCAGGAGGAACACCGGUGGCGAAGGCGGGUCUCUGGGCCGAUACUGACGCUGAGGAGCGAAAGCGUGGGGAGCGAACAGG
rnacentral:rRNA from 1 species